UAAGCGGAGGAAAAGAAACCAACAGGGAUUGCCUCAGUAGCGGCGAGUGAAGCGGCAAAAGCUCAAAUUUGAAAUCUGGCGUCUUUGGCGUCCGAGUUGUAAUUUGAAGAAGGUAUCUUUGGGCCCGGCUCUUGUCUAUGUUCCUUGGAACAGGACGUCACAGAGGGUGAGAAUCCCGUGCGAUGAGAUGACCCGGGUCUGUGUAAAGUUCCUUCGACGAGUCGAGUUGUUUGGGAAUGCAGCUCUAAGUGGGUGGUAAAUUCCAUCUAAAGCUAAAUAUUGGCGAGAGACCGAUAGCGAACAAGUACAGUGAUGGAAAGAUGAAAAGAACUUUGAAAAGAGAGUGAAAAAGUACGUGAAAUUGUUGAAAGGGAAGGGCUUGAGAUCAGACUUGGUAUUUUGCAUGCUGCUCUCUCGGGGGCGGCCGCUGCGGUUUACCGGGCCAGCAUCGGUUUGGAGCGGCAGGAUAAUGGCGGAGGAAUGUGGCACGGCUUCUGCUGUGUGUUAUAGCCUCUGACGAUACUGCCAGCCUAGACCGAGGACUGCGGUUUUUACCUAGGAUGUUGGCAUAAU
rnacentral:rRNA from 1 species